rnacentral:lncRNA from 1 species
GCUUAAAUGCAGGCCAAGUCGUCUCUCACGUACGUAUUGAGAUUUGAGAGAAUAAAAUUUGUAAAAUGAAAAAUAUUACAAGAGGUUUUUUUGAGAAUAAUUUCAAUUUUUUUUCAGUUUCAUUUUUUUUUUCUUUUUAACGCCUUGCUUUUAUAUUAAAAUCAAACUGUGUCAUACAAAUAGUUAAUAAGCCACAGAGGUGGUACUGUAAAAGAGUUUGGAACAAAGAAUUAGAAGAAAAAGCCCUUUUGUGCUAACUUGUCGGCAGCAGCAUUUUGAUCCCUUCGAACAGGAGCAAGAGAGCAAGUAGGGAAGCCUCAUCAUCCAGUAUCGUAUGUCAAUAAGUAAAGUACCAAUAUGAUUAUGAUCACCACCUGAAUUAAUCAAAUUAGUUUAGUUCUUUGUUAUCUCCUUCAAAC